rnacentral:rRNA from 1 species
GACGAACGCUGGCGGCGUGCUUAACACAUGCAAGUCGAGCGGUAAGGCCCUUUCGGGGGUACGACGAGCGGCGAACGGGUGAGUAACACGUGGGUGGCCUGCCUUUAGCUCUGGGAUAAGCCUGGGAAACUGGGUCUAAUACCGGAUAUGACCCUAUGGCGCAUGUUGUGGGGUGGAAAGCCUUGUGCGGCUAGGGAUGGGCCCGCGGCCUAUCAGCUUGUUGGUGGGGUGAUGGCCACCAAGGCGACGACGGGUAGCCGGCCUGAGAGGGCGACCGGCCACACUGGGACUGAGACACGGCCCAGACUCCUACGGGAGGCAGCAGUGGGGAAUCUUGCGCAAUGGGCGAAAGCCUGACGCAGCGACGCCGCGUGAGGGAUGACGGCC